rnacentral:rRNA from 1 species
GACAGAGGUGGCGAGCGUUGUUCGGAAUCACUGGGCUUAAAGGGCGCGUAGGUGGUAGUGCAAGUCCGUGGUGGAAUCCGGGAGCUUAACUCCCGAACUGCCAUGGAAACUGCGUUACUUGAGUCAGCGAGGGGAGGGUAGAAUUCCUGGUGUAGCGGUGAAAUGCGUAGAUAUCAGGAGGAAGGCCUGUGGCGAAGGCGGCCCUCUGGUGCUGGACUGACACUGAGGCGCGAAAGCGUGGGGAGCAAACAGGAUUAGAUACCCUGGUAGUCCACGCCCUAAACGGUGGAUACUAGGUGUAGGGCUCGUAAGGGUUCUGUGCCGAAGCGAAAGCAUUAAGUAUCCCGCCUGGGGAGUACGGCCGCAAGGUUGAAACUCAAAUGAAUUGACGG